CAGUAGCCGCGGGAAAACGUAGGGUGCGAGCGUUAAUCGGAAUUACUGGGCGUAAAGCGUGCGCAGGCGGUUAUAUAAGACAGAUGUGAAAUCCCCGGGCUCAACCUGGGACCUGCAUUUGUGACUGUAUAGCUAGAGUACGGUAGAGGGGGAUGGAAUUCCGCGUGUAGCAGUGAAAUGCGUAGAUAUGCGGAGGAACACCGAUGGCGAAGGCAAUCCCCUGGACCUGUACUGACGCUCAUGCACGAAAGCGUGGGGAGCAAACAGGAUUAGAUACCCGAGUAGUCCCUGUCUCUUAUAC
rnacentral:rRNA from 1 species